GUUUGCACUUUGGUCAAACAAGCAUGCAAGCACAAAUUCUAAGUUGAUCUAGCAGAAAAAGUGACAACAUGUCGACAAACCUAGACCUUGCAACACACAUUAUCAAGUUUGGGGGUCAGGCAAAUGGCAGGGACAAGUUAUUCAGACUCAUCCAGUAUGGCAGUAAAUUGGUAUGGUGGCAUCUCCAUCAGAAUACAAGAGGUCCGGAGCUUGUGGAGAAACUCAAGAAACUGGAGUCCUCCUUGAGCAUGACCAGGAAAUUGCUGCGGAUGGGUAAGAGUUUGGACUUCAUGAUGGCUGCCCUGAAGAGCGUCCACAUUAAAGACACGGUGCUGAGACUGACAAUUACAAUGUCAAAGCUGAACCAGGCCUGCUUCUUGCUGUUCGACCACAUCAUAUACGCUCACAACGUUGGACUCAUCAAAACAGACAAAAAGAAGUGGUCGAAUAUAUCAGCGAGAUUCUGGGUGUUCAGUCUGAUCCUAAAUCUGUCGAGAAACGCAUACGACCUUCUGAACAUUAUACAGGAGGAGAUGAAACAACGGCAGGAGAAACAUGGUCAGCAAGUAAAUGGAGAUACUAGUCACAGCAGGCGGACCUCUUAUUCACACAACACAAACAUUGUAGGGAAAAUCAUAAUGCAGAAUAAACCAGUGGUGCUAGAUCUCGUUAAAAACUUAGCCGAUUUAGUUCUACCAUUGUCCACUCUGGGAAAAGUGAAUGCAUCAGCAGGCACUCAAGGAUUCCUAGGAUUAAUAUCCUCGGCAGCAGGAAUAGCUACAGUCUGGGAUACAUCACUCAAACUUGUUCCAUAACACCCGCCGUAGUCUAGGAAACGCGUAUAAAUUGUUAAAUAUCAGUUAAGAUAUUGUGUAUUCUGAGGAGAAUGAUAUACAUAAAGGCACAAGACUUUCAAAUAUUUUUUUUAAGUUCAUGAGACUCAUAAAAUUCUAAAUAUUUGAUCAAGAUACUGAUCAUGAAAAUUUAACAUAUUAAUUAUGAAGCUUGAUUCUGAAGUAAGCAGAUCUGCUUUAUAUACAAUCUGUUAAAAACUUGUAGUAGGAAUUAUGUGAUUUCGGUGAUUAAGCAGGUGGAUUAAGAAUUUUUGUAUAGAUAUUUUUUUUUAAUUCUCGUGUAUGAAUCUUAUAAAAGGUGUUUCAUGAUUUCCUUAAGGACACUUCUCACUUGUUUGAUCAGUACUUUAUUACUGUGAUGUUGUUUAUGUGAGUUAUGUCCCUGAGAAAGCUGAUACGUGUAGGUAGUAAGCCAUUGAAUUACAGAUCAAGUUGAAAAAAAAAUUAAGCUGGUGAUGGUGAGCUUUGCAGUAUUUAUUGCAUUAUAUGUUAUUUUGUGUUUUAUCUUCAGAACUUCAAACAUAGAUUGGAUCUAAAAUUGGAUUCUGAAGCUGAACAUUUUUUAAUGAAAAAAAAAAAAUCUGCCAAAAAAAAACAAAAAAAACCUGUUGGCUAUUUGUACCCUGUUUUGUAUAGAACUUGUUAUGUAAAUGUUUUUUUUUUUUUCAUUUAAUAUGACUUUUCUACUAAUACUAUUGCUGUCUUCACAAUCAUCAUGAAAUGUACUGAUGAGCUUUAAGAAAACUGCCCGGAAAUAUGACAGCACUGAUGGUGAUAUGAAGUAGGAAACACCUGUCUGAGAGUAUGACAUCUAGUCAUAGAGUCGUGACAGGUGGCAUGUAUGUAAAGACAGACAUUGGUAUGUGUGAGAGUAUGACAUCUAGUCAGAGUCGUGACAGGUGGCAUGUAUGUAAAGACAGACAUUGGUAUGUGUGAGAGUAUGACAUCUAGUCACAGAGUCGUGACAGGUGGCGUGUAUGUAAAGACAGACAUUGGUAUGUGUGAGAGUAUGACAUCUAGUCUUGACAGGUGGCAUGUAUGUAAAGACAGACAUUGGUAUGUGUGAGAGUAUGACAUCUAGUCACAGAGUCGUGACAGGUGGCGUGUAUGUAAAGACAGACAUUGGUAUGUGUGAGAGUAUGACAUCUAGUCACAGAGUCGUGACAGGUGGCGUGUAAAGACAGACAUUGGUAUGUGUGAGAGUAUGACAUCUAGUCACAGAGUCGUGACAGGUGGCGUGUAUAUAAAGACAGACAUUGGUAUGUGUGAGAGUAUGACAUCUAGUCACAAAAUCGUGACAGGUGGCGUGUAUAUAAAGACAGACAUUGGUAUGUGUGAGAGUAUGACAUCUAGUCACAGAGUCGUGACAGGUGGCGUGUAUGUAAAGACAGACAUUGGUAUAUGUCUGAGAGAAAACUGUGAUAAAUAUCUUCCAUAAUGUUUCAUAAAAGUGCCUAUCCAAUGUAUAAUAUGCAAAUAAAAUAUGUACAUUCUUGUUAUUUUAAGUGUUGAUUUGAAUCGGGACCUCGAUCAUGCUCAGUCCCUAGAUGAACACAAAUCAUGAUACUAUUUGUAAGAUUUCAAAUUCAAUUUGAUGUAUACAGAUGUUUUAUAAUUAUGUUUCUAGUCCUGACAUUUAACAAUUUCGUUAUGUGUACUACUAUUGAAUUAGAGACAAUAUUUGUUACGAGAUCAUUACCCUUAUUGUGUUAGAGAUUGUUAUAACUUACAGCAUCAUCCUGUUUGAAGUUCCCAUCUGUAUUUCAGAUAGAAUACAAAUUGUGUUUGAAAUGAUUGUGUAUCUGUAAGUGUUUGUAAGGAGCUUCUCAGCUAUGCGCAGUGCUUCAGUUAUUGGCCAAACUCUGGGGACUUUGUAAGGAGCUUCUCAGCUAUGCGCAGUGCUUCAGUUAUUGGCCAAACUCUGGGGACUAUAUAGUCAUAGCUCAGUUUAGUUAUAACCUCCAUCUAGAGUUCUGAUGUCCUGGAUUUCAAGACUCGUCUAUUCAUUGCCAACGUCCUUUCCUGUUACUCAGUAUAGAUAUAUAAUACUGCGUAGUGCAUUAAUACUGUAUAGCUUGUAAUAUUCGCAGGGGAUUUAAUUUUGCUGCUUUUGUGGUCACUAAAUGCAAACAAAAAUUAAUACCCAGCAUGUAUUUAUCCAUACACUGAAGAUUAGUGCUUAAUGCAUAAUCCUUACAUAGCAUAGUCGUGUGAAAUUAAAUAACCGCAACUGGGACAACUGCGAAAAUACUAGCCCUGCGAAAUUUAACAACUUUGCAGUACAUGUACUGAUAAUAAUUUAUGUACUGUCAUUUACGAUAUUAACCAUAAAAAAAUCUCAUUUUUAUCAAAAUUCUUUUAUUGAUUCUCUACAUGAAUUACAGAAUUUUAUCAUGUAUGUCUGUGAUCAUUUUCUCUGUUCUUGCUCGGUACAUCUCCAGUUAUCUAAACAGAAGAUAGUUUGGACACACUCUAUUGGUGAAUGGCUGGUUGAUUCCUGGAUUAAUAAGUAAACCCAGUGGCCUUAUUGCCUGUAAAAUAUGUUAGUGAAGUAUUUAUAUCUUGUAGACAGUGUUUUAAUAUAUAUUUAUCAUUAUUUUAGCACAUACUCUCUUUUAUUUUAAUUUAAAAUGAUCUCAUUGUUAUUGAUUUAUCACAAAUUCAAUGUUGAUAGUUAUUUUUUUAUUACGGUAGAAUGGUUUGAUUGCAAUGAAUUUUUUAGGAUAAUUUAACAAAUUGUAUUUACAUAAAAUUACAAUAACUUGUACAUUACCCAGGUAUGUAAGCCUUUAUUUAUGCAUAUUAUUUAUCAUAUUAUAUUGAAGUACACUUAUGUAUCAAAAUACAUUGUAUAUAUAUGGAAUUUUAUCUUUUCUGAAAAGCAUUGUAGUGUCAUAUAUGGAGAUUUACACAUUUAUCCUGCAAUAAGCCCAGGGUGCCAACCCAUCAAUAAGUCCAGGUGCCAAUCCAUUGAUAGGUCUAGGUCGCCAACCAAUGAAUAAGUCCAGGGUGUCAAUGCAUGAAUACGUCCAGGGUGCCAAGCAAUGAAUAAGUCAAGGGUGCCAACCCAUAAAUAGAUUCAGGGUGACAAUCCAUGAAUAAGUCUAUGGUGACAAUCCAUAAAUAAGUCAAGGGUGCCAACUAAUGAAUAAGUCAAGGGUGCCAACCCAUAAAUAGGUCCAGGGUGCCAACCCAUAAAUAGAUUCAGGGUGACAAUCCAUGAAUAAGUCCAUGGUGACAAUCCAUAAAUAAGUCCAGGGUGCCAACCCAUAAAUAAGUCCAAGGUGCCAACCAAUGAAUAAGCCAGGUAUGGGGACUAUUACUAGGGAUUGGCCUUAUUACCAGGUAUGGGUAUUAUUACCAGACAUGUGUGUUAUUACUUGGUUAGUUGCUUAUUGCCAGACAGGAUGCUUGUCAGGUAUGGGCCUUAUUACUAGGUAGGGGCUUAUUGCCAGAUAAAUAUGGUACUAUAUCCAAGCAAUACAUAUAAUGUUUCAUAAUACACAGCAUAAGAUAAAGCUACUUUACAUAUAUAACAAAUAUAUAUAUAUAUAUACCACAAGUUUAAUUACUGCAGCAGAUCUAAUGUACUUUCCUAAAUCUGUUAAGAAGAUUGUUACUUUGUAGUAUGCUAUCAAAGCCUGUUAACAUCUGUUGUGAUUAUGGAUGCUGUGAUCACAUUUUCCUGUUGAUGACAUGCUCAUUACUAUCUGAGGUUUAUCACGCUGAUGUAUUUUAUGUUGUACAUUAAAUUCUAAAUCCUUAGUCAAAGUAGCCCUCACACAAUUCCCUGUGUAUGUGUCCAGAUAGGUGCAUUAGGGUUAUCACCGGUGAUAGAAAUAGAAACAUUGAUGAAAUAUUAAAUAUCUCUGUUAAGUACAAUGUCCCCUAUAAAUACAAUUAAGAAUAUUUUAUAAAUUAAACCUCAAACUAUUAGGUUUAAUACAGUUAUAACUGCUUGGUUAAUUACAGCUUUUAAUUAGUACUCCCUACUUUGACAAUUUAUCAUUGUGUAGAUAUAUAUUAUGUACAGCUUACCUUGCAGUACUAGUGCUACAUCAGCUUUACUUGUGUUCUAGCUACUUCAGCUAGUUAAAGGUCUCUGGCUGUAUCGCCAACCGACACUGCACCUGUCAUAAGUUUCUGGCGAUGUAAUCCUCUAACAUUAUUGGAGUGGUGUUCUAGCUAGCCAGUUAAUUUAGUGUAUUAAUUAACUUAAAAUAAAUUUACUUCACAAAUUUGAAACUCAUCUAUUAGUUUUCUAAUUAUAGCCAGUUACGUUAAUGUGAUAUAUUUGUAUCUAUCCUACUUGUGUUCUUACUAUAACCAGUAGUGUAUUAAUUACUUGGAAAUUAAUUUAUUUCACAAAUUUGAAACUCAUCUACAUGUAGUAGUUUUCUAAUUAUAGCCAGUUAUUUUUCAAUUACUGAACUAAUUACCAUCUCAAGUAGUAUCUUAACUAGCAAAUUAAUGUACUGCAUUGAUUACUUACUCGGUUAUUAUAAUUAAUAAGCUAGUUAAUUCAGUGCUAUAAUUAAUUAGCUAGUUAAUUUAGUGCUAUAGUUAAUUAGCUAGUUAAUUCAGUGCUAUAGUUAAUUAGCUAGUUAAUUCAGUGCUAUAAUUAAUUAGCUAGUUAAUUCAGUGCAAUAAUUAAUUAGCUAGUUAAUUCAGUGCUAUAGUUAAUUAGCUAGUUAAUUCAGUGCUAUAAUUAAUUAGCUAGUUAAUUCAGUGAACUAACUCUACUGAGGUACAGAGAUUACUACCUGUAGUGUUGAUAUGGUUUGUGCAUGCGCAGCUAUAGUUAUCUGUAAGAUGGUCACUGGAAACAUAUUUCAGUUUACGAAUAAAUAAAUUGAUAGUAAUAGACAUGUACAUUAACAUAUUGUUGUGAGAUGAGAAUCAACACAUUGUUAUGAGAUGAGAAUAGGUAUGUUUAUGUAGAACACUAAAUUAUUUGAUGCUAUACUAACAUAUCAUUACAUAGAGAACUAUUACAACACUGAUGAAAUAAAACAAUUCCAGUAUACUAUAUUUGUUUUAUUAUUUGUUAUUGGCAAGAUUACAGUGUAAGUACAACAAUUGUAAAGGCAUAUUGGUCAUGUAUCAUCAAAUGUUCAUAUAGCCAACCUCUAGUUGACAUUGUGAGACUGUACAGGAUAACACGAGUCUGCAUGGCUCUGUGACAAAAGAGAUUUAGAGAAUCUGGCCCAGUUUGAUCAAUAUUCCAUGAUGAAAUUCCUUAACUGUAAAUAUUUCAAUAGAAAUUAAGCAUUUGAGAAUUUAAGGAAUGUCCUGAAGAUUUUUUUCUUGAAUCUAUCAAUGUGUUCAUAUGGCAAAAUAAGGAAUUUCCUUAGAUUAGCCUCAUCGGAUACCCACGGUUGAUUGAACUACACUAUGCUAAACUGAUAAUGUUAAGCCUCGUCGGAUUCCCACGGUUGAUUGAACUACACUAUGCUAAACUGAUAAUGUUAAGCCUCGUCGGAUUCACACGGUCGAUUGAACUACACUAUGCUAAACUGAUAAUGUUAAGCCUCGUCGGAUUCCCACAGUUGAUUGAACAACACUAUGCUACACUGAUAAUGUUAAGCCUCGUCGGAUUCCCACGGUUGAUUGAACUACACUAUGCUACACUGAUAAUGUUAAGCCUCGUCGGAUUCCCACAGUUGAUUGAACAACACUAUGCUACACUGAUAAUGUUAAGCCUCGUCGGAUUCCCAUGGUUGAUUGAACUACACUAUG